AUCCAGCUGAAGAGUCCCAAAUAGGGAGAAACGCGCCUUGUCCUAGAU
rfam:Schistosoma rodhaini strain Burundi genome assembly, scaffold: SROB_scaffold0003394